UGAUGUGUGGGCUACCUCUACUUUGCUGCUUUUUAGUUUACGUAGGAAUAUCUUCUGCUACGUUUCCCCGUCUCAUUCCCCCUGCUCUGGUGUUUUGGUUUAAAAAAGAAUAUCUUCUGCUACGUUUCCCCGUCUCAUUCCCCCUGCUCUGGUGUUUUGGUUUAAAAAGGAAUAUCUUCUGCUACGCCGACACUGACGCCAACGUUUCUCCUCCUGAUCGGGUCUUAUUGUUCACAACGUAUCGUUCUCUGAGACUAAAGCUACUAACGUUACCAUGGCAGCAGCGGGUGGAGUCUCAAUGCUGCCUCCUGUUUAUGCCCAGUAUACUAGAAUGUUGAUGAGAAAUAGAUUUUGGGCGUGAUAGUUUAAACAGAGAUUAGUUCUUCUACUGGAGAUAAAAACACUUGGUGCACGGAGAUCACUUUUGGCUCACUUAAAAACC